CCCUGGUUAGCACAGAUGGUAGAGCGCUCCACCUGUAAUGGAGAGGUCCCGGGUUCGAUGCCCGGACCAGGUG
rfam:Ixodes scapularis strain Wikel colony gcontig_1108379202290, whole genome shotgun sequence.